rnacentral:lncRNA from 1 species
UAACGGAUAAACAAAUUAUAUUGUACAUAAUAGCUCAACAAAAGUGAUUUAUUUCUGAUCAAGAAUGAGAACUUGAGAACCAUAGAAUGAUCCCAAUUAUUUAAAACAGAUAUUUUCACACUCCUACAUUGUAAGUAUUCAAAGGAAUAAUGAAGAUAAUAUAGCCUAAUAAAUUGAAAGACAAUCGUCGAAUUUAUUCAGGAAAAUUCGUACUACAAUCAACAAACUAACUAAUGUCCGUCGCCAGGGCUCGGACCGGAUUUCUUGAUCUCUCUGAGAGUAAAAGCAUUGCUUGAUCCAUGUCCCUUACCUCCAGAAUUAAGGCCUCCUGCCUUUAGAUCUUCAACAUAUAAAUCCUCUAAAAUUUUCUCAAUUUCAAUGUCAAUUGAAUCAUAAUGAUUUUCUGUACUUAUGCUGAGAGGACGGGCUUCAAAUAAAGAGACAAAAAGGAGAAGAGAAAUGAAGAAGGUAAGAUAUUUUCGAGUUGCAGCCAUAAGAAUAAAUUUUUAGGGUUUUGGAUGCAGGGAAAUUAUUAUUUUGUGAAUUUUAGAAGCUGAAUUGUAUUAAAAUAGAGGCUGUGAUUCAUGUGUAUAUAUAGUUCCGGCAUGGAAAGGGUUUAAGGGAAGUUUGACUGAGAUUCAAAAGUUUUGAAUGCAGGGGCAAUUUUGAAGGUGCUGGAAAUUGG